GCCGCAGUAGCUCAACGGCAGAGCAAUCGCUUCGUAAGCGAUAGGUUGACGGUUCAAAUCCGCCCUGCGGCACCA
rnacentral:tRNA from 1 species